UCCUGGCUUAGGACGAACGCUGGCGGCGUGCCUAAUGCAUGCAAGUCGAACGGUCUUUCUAUGGAAGCUUGCUUCCACUGAGAAGAUAGUGGCGAACGGGUGAGUAACACGUGGGUAACCUGCCCAUAAGAGGGGGAUAACAUCCGGAAACGGGUGCUAAUACCGCAUAGUUUUCUUGAUCGCAUGAUUGAGAAAGGAAAGACGGCCUUUGUGCUGUCGCUUAUGGAUGGACCCGCGGCGUAUUAGUUAGUUGGUGAGGUAACGGCUCACCAAGACGGUGAUACGUAGCCGACCUGAGAGGGUGAUCGGCCACAUUGGGACUGAGACACGGCCCAAACUCCUACGGGAGGCAGCAGUAGGGAAUCUUCCGCAAUGGACGAAAGUCUGACGGAGCAACGCCGCGUGAGUGAAGAAAAGGUUUUCGGAUCGUAAAACUCUGUUGUCAGAGAAGAACGAGUUGGAGAGUAACUGCUCCAGCCUUGACGGUAUCUGACCAGAAAGCCACGGCUAACUACGUGCCAGCCGCAGC
rnacentral:rRNA from 1 species